UACGGGGGGGGCAAGCGUUGUUCGGAAUUACUGGGCGUAAAGGGCUCGUAGGCGGCCAACUAAGUCAGACGUGAAAUCCCUCGGCUUAACCGGGGAACUGCGUCUGAUACUGGAUGGCUUGAGAUUGGGAGAGGGAUGCGGAAUUCCAGGUGUAGCGGUGAAAUGCGUAGAUAUCGGAAGGAACAUCAGUGGCGAAAGCGGCUUCCUGGACCAGAACUGACGAUCAGGCACGAAAGCGUGGGGAGCAAACAGG
rnacentral:rRNA from 1 species